rnacentral:tRNA from 1 species
GGUGGUGUGGCCGAGAGGCGAGGCAGCGGCCUGCAAAGCCGUUUACACGGGUUCGAAUCCCGUCGCCACCUC